rnacentral:rRNA from 1 species
GUUGGCUUAGAAGCAGCCAUCAUUUAAAGAAAGCGUAAUAGCUCACUGGUCGAGUCGGCCUGCGCGGAAGAUGUAACGGGGCUAAACUAUGCACCGAAGCUGCGGCAGCGAUAUGUAAAUAUUGUUGGGUAGGGGAGCGUUCUGUAAGCCUGUGAAGGUGUACUGCGAGGUAUGCUGGAGGUAUCAGAAGUGCGAAUGCUGACAUAAGUAACGAUAAUGCGGGUGAAAAACCCGCACGCCGGAAGACCAAGGGUUCCUGUCCAACGUUAAUCGGGGCAGGGU